rnacentral:rRNA from 1 species
AUGAAAAAAGCCAUUGAAUUAACUAAAAAAGCAGAUAUAAGGGGAGUAAAAAUAAAAAUUGCGGGUCGUCUCGGAGGAAAAGAAAUGGCACGUGCCGAAUCCAUUAAAAAGAGUAGACUUCCCCUCCAAACAAUUCGCGCUAAAAUUGAUUAUUGCUGCUAUCCAAUUCGGACUCAUCUAAUCUCAUGUUCUGUCCAAUUAAACUGCUAUACUGUGAUCUUUAACCGAAAAGGCACGAACCGAUCUCUAGCGAUCCAUGCUAAAAGUUUAUUAGAAAAUUAG